GUUACGUGGCCACAGUCCUAUUAUUUGCAGUCAGUAACAAAGAUUCAUCCUUGUGUCGAUCAUACAGCACGGAGAGUCUUUGUCACUCAGUGUAAUUAAUAGCCUUCACCUCGCAAGGGAC
rnacentral:pre_miRNA from 14 species